rnacentral:tRNA from 1 species
GGUGGCUCAGUGGAAGAGCGCUUGCCUCGCAUGCACGAGGCCCUGGGUUCGAUUCCUCAGCACCA